ACUCCAGCUGCAAAGAAUCUUCUAGCAAUUGACUAGAAAUGUAUGACUCCCUACUAGAAGUGGGAAAGAAGAUAAGAGUGCACCCUUUAAAGGGAUCCGAACCAUAUACUGACUCUUGAUCCACUUGCAAGACACGAAAUCCAUGUGGUUCCAGUUAGAUUUAAUAAGAACGGAUUCAUUUUAUAAAGGAGAGAUUCAACACCCAUCUACGAGAUCGGACCAUAAAAAGGCCAACGCAAGAUAUCCGACUAUAGCAUGCCAAUAGUAUCCAAGAAUCGCAUCUCAAUGGAAAAAACCAGAUAAAUCAAAAGCCACCUUUAAUGGACCCAUUAAAACUUCCAAAAAAAAAAAAGGUCCACCCACGCAACCGCCUAUCACCAAAAUCCGUGAAAGAACUAUGCCGCCAACACCUCAACGCCGUCCGAAAACCCGUCUAAUCCGCACAGCCCUAAAGGCCAGGUUUAUAGCCAAAUUUUAAGAGCUCUACCGGUGCCUGCCGGUACGGCACUACGAUCGAGCACUUUCACUGUGGGCCCAAAACGAGAAGGCUGAAUACAAAUUGUGCAACAUGCGGCCAACGGUUAAAGUGAAAAAAUACCUGGAUAUGCCCGUCAUAAUUUUUGAAGUGUCAUAAAAAUAUCUCCAUAAGCAGACGAAACUAUUA